rnacentral:rRNA from 1 species
UACGUAGGGGGCAAGCGUUGUCCGGAUUUAUUGGGCGUAAAGAGCGUGUAGGCGGCCAUUCAGGUCAGCUGUGAAAACUCGAGGCUUAACCUCGAGCUGUCGGCGGAAACCAUCUGGCUAGAGUCCGGAAGAGGAGAAUGGAAUUCCCGGUGUAGCGGUGAAAUGCGCAGAUAUCGGGAAGAACACCCGUGGCGAAGGCGGUUCUCUGGGACGGUACUGACGCUGAGACGCGAAAGCGUGGGGAGCGAACAGG